UGGGGAAUUUUGGACAAUGGGCGAAAGCCUGAUCCAGCAAUGCCGCGUGUGUGAAGAAGGCCUUCGGGUUGUAAAGCACUUUUGUCCGGAAAGAAAUCCUUGGCUCUAAUACAGUCGGGGGAUGACGGUACCGGAAGAAUAAGCACCGGCUAACUACGUGCCAGCAGCCGCGGUAAUACGUAGGGUGCAGGCGUUAAUCGGAAUUACUGGGCGUAAAGCGUGCGCAGGCGGUUUGCUAAGACCGAUGUGAAAUCCCCGGGCUCAACCUGGGAACUGCAUUGGUGACUGGCAGGCUAGAGUAUGGCAGAGGGGGGUAGAAUUCCACGUGUAGCAGUGAAAUGCGUAGAGAUGUGGAGGAAUACCGAUGGCGAAGGCAGCCCCCUGGGCCAAAUACUGACGCUCAUGCACGAAAGCGUGGGGAGCAAACAGGAUUAGAUACCCUGGUAGUCCACGCCCUAAACGAUGUCAACUAGUUGUUGGGGAUUCAUUUCCUUAGUAACGUAGCUAACGCGUGAAGUUGACCGCCUGGGGAGUACGGUCGCAAGAUUAAAACUCAAAGGAAUUGACGGGGU
rnacentral:rRNA from 1 species